rnacentral:misc_RNA from 1 species
GCGGAGGAAAAGAAACCAACAGGGAUUGCCCUAGUAACGGCGAGUGAAGCGGCAACAGCUCAAAUUUGAAAUCUGGCGUCUUUGGCGUCCGAGUUGUAAUUUGCAGAGGGCGCUUUGGCAUUGGCAGCGGUCCAAGUUCCUUGGAACAGGACGUCACAGAGGGUGAGAAUCCCGUACGUGGUCGCUAGCCUUUACCGUGUAAAGCCCCUUCGACGAGUCGAGUUGUUUGGGAAUGCAGCUCUAAAUGGGAGGUAAAUUUCUUCUAAAGCUAAAUACUGGCCAGAGACCGAUAGCGCACAAGUAGAGUGAUCGAAAGAUGAAAAGCACUUUGGAAAGAGAGUUAAAAAGCACGUGAAAUUGUUGAAAGGGAAGCGCUUGCAGCCAGACUUGCCUGUAGUUGCUCAUCCGGGUUUUUACCCGGUGCACUCUUCUGCGGGCAGGCAGCAUCAGUUUGGGCGGUUGGAUAAAGGUCUCUGUCAUGUACCUCUCUUCGGGGAGGCCUUAUAGGGGAGGCGCAAUGCAACCAGCCCGGACUGAGGUCCGCGCAUCUGCUAGGAUGCUGGCGUAAUGGCUGUAAGCGGCCCGUCUUGAAACACGGACCAAGGAGUCUAACAUCUAUGCGAGUGUUUGGGUGUCAAGCCCGAACGCGUAAUGAAAGUGAACGGAGGUGGGAACCUUUCGGGGUGCACCAUCGACCGAUCCUGAUGUCUUCGGAUGGAUUUGAGUAAGAGCAUAGCUGUUGGGACCCGAAAGAUGGUGAACUAUGCUUGAAUAGGGUGAAGCCAGAGGAAACUCUGGUGGAGGCUCGCAGCGGUUCUGACGUGCAAAUCGAUCGUCAAAUUUGGGCAUAGGGGCGAAAGA